AUGCAUUCACAUAUAGAUAGCUUAUUUGCAUUGUUCAAAAAACUUUGUAGUCUCAAUGAUGAUGCAUACAUGUCAACGAUGGGUGUUGGCUCCAACAAUUCGCAUUGGUCUCAAACCAAUGACAUGCAUUUCGAAAACCAUGAGUUCGAAGUGGACGAGGAGGGUGAGGGCAUUGUCCACGCACCGAAAGGGAGAGCGGGCAAUUACACCAACGCCGAUGACAUCUUACUAUGCAAUACUUGGUUGCAAGUGUCGAGAGAUCCAUCCGUUGGAGGUGAUCAAAGUAGAGAUGCUUGUUGGCUUCGGAUGAAGGAACACUUUGAUGUUCGCAACGUGAGUGGAAUUGACCACUCCGACCGAUCACUUCGGUCCCGGUGGUCGACAAUUGAUGUCUACUACACAACCUUCUUCUUGUAG
rnacentral:rRNA from 1 species